GACGAACGCUGGCGGCGUGCUUAACACAUGCAAGUCGAACGGAAAGGCCCUGCUUUUGUGGGGUGCUCGAGUGGCGAACGGGUGAGUAACACGUGAGUAACCUGCCCUUGACUUUGGGAUAACUUCAGGAAACUGGGGCUAAUACCGGAUAGGAGCUCCUGCUGCAUGGUGGGGGUUGGAAAGUUUCGGCGGUUGGGGAUGGACUCGCGGCUUAUCAGCUUGUUGGUGGGGUAGUGGCUUACCAAGGCUUUGACGGGUAGCCGGCCUGGGAGGGUGACCGGCCACAUUGGGCCUGAGAUACGGCCCAGACUCCUACGGGAGGCAGCGGUGGGGAAUAUUGCACAAUGGGCGGAAGCCUGAUGCAGCAACGCCGCGUGCGGGAUGACGGCCUUCGGGUUGUAAACCGCUUUCGCCUGUGACGAAGCGUGAGUGACGGUAAUGGGUAAAGAAGCACCGGCUAACUACGUG
rnacentral:rRNA from 1 species